UUUCACUCUGUGAGCUAUUCAGAGUGAGCAGCGCUCGGAACGCUACGCACUCCACAUAUUGGAGAUGCGUGCGCCCCAAUGAGCUAUAACAUUGUUAUUUUCUUUAUUUUCUGUGCCGCAAAUAGAUUCCAGUUUGGUGCGAGCGGCACGCCAUUUCCGGUGUGACGCGCGUAUCGCGUCACUUCCGGUAUGACGCGUGCGUGUCAACCGGAGCUCAGAAUCAGGAAGUAACCCAGCAGGAAACUAUCACUUCAUUAACCAGGAUAUAAAAACGGACUUUUGGACUUUUCACCACACUUCUGAAGAAGCCUGUUUAGGCGAAACGCGUUAAGUGGGACUUUUAUACAUAUAUUUUUUAUCCAAU